AAACUAACAAGGAUUCCCUUAGUAACGGCGAGUGAAGCGGGAAUAGCUCAAAUUUGAAAGCUGGCAGCAAUGUCCGCGUUGUAAUCUCGAGAAGUGUUUUCCGUGCUGGACCAUAGAUAUGUUCCUUGGAAUAGGAUGUCAAAGAGGGUGAGAAUCCCGUACAUGCUAUGGACGCCCAGUGCUUUGUGAUACACUUUCGAAGAGUCGAGUUGUUUGGGAAUGCAGCUCAAAAUGGGUGGUAAAUUCCAUCUAAAGCUAAAUAUUGGGGAGAGACCGAUAGCAAACAAGUACCGUGAGGGAAAGAUGAAAAGCACUUUGGAAAGAGAGUUAAACAGUACGUGAAAUUGUCAAAAGGGAAGCGCUUCAAGUCAGAUAUGGCUUUAAAUGUUCAGCCUUUCGGUGUAUUCAUUUUUUGUCAGGCCAGCAUCGAUUUUGAACGUCGGAUAAGGGUAGAAGGAAUGUAGCAUACUUUCGGGUAUGUGUUAUAGCCUUUUACUGGAUACGACGAUCGGGAUCGAGGUUCGCAGCACACCCUUUUUUGGGCAGGUCUUCGGACACUUUUGUGCUUAGGAUGCUGGCGUAAUGGCUUGAAGCGAC
rnacentral:rRNA from 1 species